UCAAGUGCAUGCUUGAGAAUAUACAUUGUCAUAUUACGUAAAGUCUUGCUCAAGAGUGCAAUGAGUACCUAGCUAUGGAAGGUAGAAUAGAAAUUGCAACAACAAAAUCCUAAUUCUAAUAGAAUAUUAAAUAAACUCUUAUUAAAUCUCAAUAAUGCUAAAUAAGCUUUAAUCAAAUUCAAAAGAAAUUUAAAGAAAUUAUAAAAUAAAUAAUAAGAAAUCUUAAAGGAGUUGAAAGAAAAUCUAUAAUAAAUCUUAAAAGAAUCCUUAAGGAGCCCUAAAAAAUAUUAGAAUAAUCACAAAUAUAUCUUAAAUAAAUCUCAACCAAAUUCUAAUUUAAUCCUAGUUGAAACUCUAAUGGACUUCAAUCAAAUCCUAAACAAUUAAUAAACCCUAAACCAAACUAUAAAUCAAACUUUAGAAAAUCCUAAAUCCUAAAUCAAACCAUAAAUCAAAUCCUAGACAAAUCUUAAAUCCUAAAUCAAAUCCUAGAUCAAACCUUAAAUCUUAAACCAAAUCUUAAAUCCUAAACCAAAUCCUAGAUAGUUUAGAACCUCAAUAUCUAUCAAUU
rnacentral:lncRNA from 1 species